GGUUGAGUUAGAAAGGGCGC
rnacentral:rRNA from 1 species